UGGGGAAUAUUGGACAAUGGGCGCAAGCCUGAUCCAGCCAUGCCGCGUGAGUGAUGAAGGCCCUAGGGUUGUAAAGCUCUUUCACCGGUGAAGAUAAUGACGGUAACCGGAGAAGAAGCCCCGGCUAACUUCGUGCCAGCAGCCGCGGUAAUACGAAGGGGGCUAGCGUUGUUCGGAUUUACUGGGCGUAAAGCGCACGUAGGCGGACUUUUAAGUCAGGGGUGAAAUCCCGGGGCAACCCCGGAACUGCCUUUGAUACUGGAAGUCUUGAGUAUGGUAGAGGUGAGUGGAAUUCCGAGUGUAGAGGUGAAAUUCGUAGAUAUUCGGAGGAACACCAGUGGCGAAGGCGGCUCACUGGACCAUUACUGACGCUGAGGUGCGAAAGCGUGGGGAGCAAACAGG
rnacentral:rRNA from 1 species